rnacentral:rRNA from 1 species
GACGAACGCUGGCGGCGUGCUUAACACAUGCAAGUCGAACGGAAAGGCCCUGCUUUUGUGGGGUGCUCGAGUGGCGAACGGGUGAGUAACACGUGAGUAACCUGCCCUUGACUUUGGGAUAACUUCAGGAAACUGGGGCUAAUACCGGAUAGGAGCUCCUGCUGCAUGGUGGGGGUUGGAAAGUUUCGGCGGUUGGGGAUGGACUCGCGGCUUAUCAGCUUGUUGGUGGGGUAGUGGCUUACCAAGGCAUUGACGGGUAGCCGGCCUGAGAGGGUGACCGGCCACAUUGGGACUGAGAUACGGCCCAGACUCCUACGGGAGGCAGCAGUGGGGAAUAUUGCACACUGGGCGGAAGCCUUAUGCAGCAACGCCGCGUGCGGGAUGACGGCCUUCGGGUUGUAAACCGCUUUCGCCUGUGACGAAGCGUGAGUGACGGUAAUGGGUAGAGAAGCACCGGCUAACUACGUG